GUCUGAUCUAAACGUACCGUGACGAAAUUAGUUUCGAAAACGACGUUACCGACACGGGAAUUGGUGCGGAGACGGUGUCGCGUCUAUUUAUACACGAGUAUUUACCGACUGGUUCGUGGCACGCAAAUUUUCGAGACGAGCACAAAGGAGGCAUAGUAAACGGUUGCUAAUUUCACGCGAACGCACUUUAGACCCACGCAGGCGCAGGCGCACACGCCACUCAAUUCGCCUCGGUUUAUUUCGAUCACACUGACAGCCAUUGUUCUUCGAAAAUUUCCGACCGAGACAGCCGGUCUAUCAAGACGUGAAACAGCAACAAGGAAACGGUUUUCAUGCCUGCAUGUCGCCUAUUGAUGACUAGCUCCUAUUUCUCUUACGAUGUUCGGAUGAUAACCUCUAUACGGUCGCUGCGGUCUGUCGAUACAUUAUACACUGAGAUGAACUAUUUCAAUUUCGAACCAAACUAUGAAUUAGAACCCGUCCGAAAUGCAUUGAUUCCGUAGCUAUUGGCGUGACACCAUAUUUGUGAGAUGCAAUUUUUCACCCGUAAAAACCAGAUUAUCGCUUACAUAUGCGUGCUAUUUUAUGGCAAAUUUAUCAGCAAUCGAAGUUCGUUUCCAAUGCAGUCUUUCUCCGAGGGAUAAAAAGUUUUAUCAUAGACCAAGGAACGUAUACUUAGAAUUCUUUGUUACCAGUAUCUACAACAGUUUCGUGCAAGGCCUGCAAGUCACAACGUAGAUGGUCUGUAAUGAUUGAAGUUUGCGGGGUUCACUUCCUGUGAGAUUAUGAUUUCAGCUAUCUGUGAUCCGUGCCGCUAUUGGAAGCAAGAAUCCGUUUCUACCCUAACGUUUCUCUGUUACCUAUAGCUCACCUAUAAACGUGCCGUAACUACAUUUCCUGGCAACAUCGUUCCUAACGUUUUUCAGAAAACGCAAUUACGAAAUUUCGAAAUGGCGAAACAGACGUUUUACAGAAUCACAUAUCCCAACUACCGUUGGACACAGAGUAAAGUUAAAU